rnacentral:rRNA from 1 species
CUACGGGUUGCUGCAGUGAGGAAUAUUGGUCAAUGGACGCAAGUCUGAACCAGCCAAGUCGCGUGAAGGAUGACUGCCCUAUGGGUUGUAAACUUCUUUUAUUUGGUAAGAAUAAACACUACGUGUAGUGUGAUGCCUGUACCAAAUGAAUAAGCAUCGGCUAACUCCGUGCCAGCAGCCGCGGUAAUACGGAGGAUGCGAGCGUUAUCCGGAUUUAUUGGGUUUAAAGGGUGCGUAGGUGGUGUAGUAAGUUAGUGGUCAAAUCUUCAGGCUCAACCUGAUGUAGCCAUUAAUACUGCUAUACUAGAGUAUAGACGAGGUAGGCGGAAUAAGUUAAGUAGCGGUGAAAUGCUUAGAUAUAACUUAGAACUCCGAUAGCGAAGGCAGCUUACCAGGCUAUAACUGACACUGAUGCACGAGAGCGUGGGUAGCGAACAGGAUUAGAUACCCUCGUAGUC